rnacentral:lncRNA from 1 species
UCAAAAAUUCCACAAAAAACACACCUCCGAUCAAUAUCCAAGAAGAGUAGUUUGUCUUUAGUUAGCAGCUUUGAUUGGGCCGCUAACCAAAGCAAGAAAGAAUGCUUCGGAGUGAUGCACGGCUUCCAAACUUCUCCUUCCCACGGCUUCAAAGUAUCUUUAUGCCUAAAGUAAUCAUAGGCAAUUUUUGUUGAGAAUUUAUCAUGCAUAGAACAGCCCAGAUUUUGACUUGAAGAUUCAAAAAACUGCCUACCGAAGAAA